rnacentral:tRNA from 1 species
AUGUCCAAUAUCUCGAUCUUAAUCUGAAGUAUAAUGAUGAAUGGAAAAAAGAGAAAAUCCUUUAGCUAGAUAAGGGAAGGGGCGGAUGUAGCCAAGUGGAUCAAGGCAGUGGAUUUGUUAAUCCACCCAUGCGGCGAG